rnacentral:rRNA from 1 species
GGCGUGCUUAACACAUGCAAGUCGAACGAUGAAGCCUUUCGGGGUGGAUUAGUGGCGAACGGGUGAGUAACACGUGGGCAAUCUGCCCUUCACUCUGGGACAAGCCCUGGAAACGGGGUCUAAUACCGGAUAACACUCUGUCCCGCAUGGGACGGGGUUAAAAGCUCCGGCGGUGAAGGAUGAGCCCGCGGCCUAUCAGCUUGUUGGUGGGGUGAUGGCCUACCAAGGCGACGACGGGUAGCCGGCCUGAGAGGGCGACCGGCCACACUGGGACUGAGACACGGCCCAGACUCCUACGGGAGGCAGCAGUGGGGAAUAUUGCACAAUGGGCGAAAGCCUGAUGCAGCGACGCCGCGUGAGGGAUGACGGCCUUCGGGUUGUAAACCUCUUCAGCANNGAAGAAGCGAA